GACGAACCGAGCGAACGUUGUUCGGAAUCACUGGGCUUAAAGGGCGCGUAGGCGGGCUGUCAAGUCUGGGGUGAAAUCCCGCGGCUCAACCGUGGAACUGCCUCAGAUACUGACGGCCUCGAGGGAGGUAGGGGCGAGCGGAACUAAUGGUGGAGCGGUGAAAUGCGUUGAUAUCAUUAGGAACUCCGGUGGCGAAGGCGGCUCGCUGGACCUCUUCUGACGCUGAGGCGCGACAGCGUGGGGAGCAAACAGG
rnacentral:rRNA from 1 species